rnacentral:rRNA from 1 species
UACGGAGGGGGCGAGCGUUAUUCGGAAUUAUUGGGCGUAAAGGGCGCGUAGGCGGCUCUUUAAGUCAAAGGUGAAAUCCCUCGGCUCAACUGAGGAACUGCCUUUGAAACUGAGGAGCUUGAGUCCGGGAGGGGGUAGCGGAAUUCCCAGUGUAGCGGUGAAAUGCGUAGAUCUUGGGAAGAACACCUGUGGCGAAAGCGCUCUACUGGACCGCGACUGACACUGAUGGACGAAAGCUAGGGGAGCGAAUGGG